AAAAACGCUGUAAAUUAAAAAUCAAAGAUAUGAUUUUCCCAUGAACAACCACAACCAUGAACCAUGACAAGCUAAAAUUGUCAAAGAAGGAUAUAUACCAUUAGAUCCUACGAAGUCCUCUACCCUCGAUGAAAGAAAAUAAAUCAUUGCCCCAAUAGCCAAAAUAGACUCCAAAGAUUUAAGCAGAGAAAAGCACUCCGUGAGCACCAACGAAUACCAGCCUACCUUACUACUGCCAUGUAUAAUCCAUAUUCCAUAGUCUGUAGACCAUUUCUCAGCAUGAAUCUUUUACGUGGUUAAGAAUAAAUAAAUUUUAUGUUUCUGGGUUGUUAUUGAUUAUAGAUUUCAAGAUAUGUAGGCGAAGGCAUUCUUUAUUUUUUAGAUAAUUAUAGAUUUCAAGAUUGGAUAAUUUAGUCAUUUUAUUUACACAGAAGUGUAGUUUUCAAAAAAAUAAAAUCAAAGUGUAGUUUUCAAAAAAAAAUGUCAUACAAAUGUAUUUUUCCAAAUUUUCUCUUUUAAUUUCCUUAUCCUAAGAUUUUAAUUUUAAAUUUUAGAAUUAUCCACUUGUGGAAGAAAAAAAUACGUUUUCUCCAUCAAAAUUGAAUUUAAAUUUAAAUUUAUUAAUAAAAUAUUUUUGACUAGGAAAUUUUUAUUUAUUUCUAGUUACGAAUUGAACCGUCCGGUCUUGUUGUUACUAGUCCGGUAAUAGUUUGGGGAAGUGAAAACAGCGGAGCACACCGUUGUAAUUAAGCACACUUGUUAUGGCUGUUUCUUCUCCCAUCCACGAAUCUCUUUCUUCUAUAUCCAUAGUCGGAGAAGGCACUGGUCUCUCUUCCUUCUCCCCCGACUCCUUAUACAAAAUCAGGUUUGACCUAAGGCAUGAUGCGUACAUCUCACUAAUAAGGGAUAAGUGAACAAGGGAUAACGGAAACAAAAAGACGACAUGCUUUGAUUCAUCGAUGGACGAUAAAGCUGUUCUUGAUGAUAAUAUUUAUUUUCUGAUUGUAUAUAGGAGAGUGCAGUGCAAGUCAAGUACUUGAUCCUUUCCCAGUGGUUUCACCUGAAAUAGUUGUCCGAGAAGCUAGAGUGGAGGACUGGUGGGAAGUGGCGGAGACUCGCUACACAGCUCCUUCUUCCCUGGACAUUCGUUCCCGCUUGAUCUUGUCCUCAGAGUUGAUAGGUCGAUGGCAAUGAUUAUCUUCCAAGGAAAGGAUCUCUCCCACUGAGAAUGUUUGUUUCAAGCCCUGUGCCUUUGUUCUGUAAGGCAACUUGUCUUUUGACGUGGAACUAAGAAAACGUAUUGAGUUUUAUUUCAGGACGAGAUUGCUUACAUAUCAAGCGUGGCGUUUCGAGAGAGUUUCACUCGCAAGGGAAUAGCUAAGAGACUGAUUUGGACAGCAGAGGCUUUAGACAAGAACUGGCAAUGUCGAGCUAUAGGGCUUCACUGUGAUCUCCUCAACAACUUGGGAGCCACGAAACUUUACAAAGAUCAAGGUUACAGAUGCAUCAGGAUCCCUGAGGGAGCGAACUGGCCACAACCAAAGACACAUCUCCAGACACCAGGUUUAAAACUUCAUGAUGAAGCUCUUGAACAACAACAGUACACAAGUGACAAGUCCUUGAACAGUUUCGGUAAGUCCAAGGCAAAAGGAAAAGUCGAAUUCUAUUUGUUGAUGAAGUAGCCCUUGAUUAUGUGGUCUACGGUUGUUCGUCUUGUCUAUAAUAUUUUCAAGCAAAUACGGACAUGAACUAAUGCUUUUUCUGUAUACAAAUAAAACGUUUAUACUACCGAAGUAGAAUGUAUAUAAUAA